rnacentral:rRNA from 1 species
GGGACACGUGGUAUCCUGUCUGAAUAUGGGGGGACCAUCCUCCAAGGCUAAAUACUCCUGACUGACCGAUAGUGAACCAGUACCGUGAGGGAAAGGCGAAAAGAACCCCGGCGAGGGGAGUGAAAAAGAACCUGAAACCGUGUACGUACAAGCAGUGGGAGCACGCUUAGGCGUGUGACUGCGUACCUUUUGUAUAAUGGGUCAGCGACUUAUAUUCUGUAGCAAGGUUAACCGAAUAGGGGAGCCGAAGGGAAACCGAGUCUUAACUGGGCGUUAAGUUGCAGGGUAUAGACCCGAAACCCGGUGAUCUAGCCAUGGGCAGGUUGAAGGUUGGGUAACACUAACUGGAGGACCGAACCGACUAAUGUUGAAAAAUUAGCGGAUGACUUGUGGCUGGGGGUGAAAGGCCAAUCAAACCGGGAGAUAGCUGGUUCUCCCCGAAAGCUAUUUAGGUAGCGCCUCGUGAAUUCAUCUCCGGGGGUAGAGCACUGUUUCGGCAAGGGGGUCAUCCCGACUUACCAACCCGAUGCAAACUGCGAAUACCGGAGAAUGUUAUCACGGGAGACACACGGCGGGUGCUAACGUCCGUCGUGAAGAGGGAAACAACCCAGACCGCCAGCUAAGGUCCCAAAGUCAUGGUUAAGUGGGAAACGAUGUGGGAAGGCCCAGACAGCCAGGAUGUUGGCUUAGAAGCAGCCAUCAUUUAAAGAAAGCGUAAUAGCUCACUGGUCGAGUCGGCCUGCGCGGAAGAUGUAACGGGGCUAAACCAUGCACCGAAGCUGCGGCAGCGACACUAUGUGUUGUUGGGUAGGGGAGCGUUCUGUAAGCCUGUGA